AUUGAACGCUGGCGGCAGGCCUAACACAUGCAAGUCGAACGAGUGGCGGACGGGUGAGUAAUGUCUGGGAAACUGCCUGAUGGAGGGGGAUAACUACUGGAAACGGUAGCUACUACCGCAUACCAUCGGAUGUGCCCGUAUGGGAUUAGCUAGUAGGUGGGGUAACGGCUCACCUAGGCGACGAGCCCUAGCUGGUCUGAGAGGAUGACCAGCCACACUGGGACUGAGACACGGUCCAGACUCCUACGGGAGGCAGCAGUGGGGAAUAUUGGACAAUGGGCGCAAGCCUGAUGCAGCCAUGCCGCGUGGAUGAAGAAGGCCUUCGGGUUGUAAAGUACUUUCAGCGGGGAGGCGUUACCCGCAGAAGAAGCACCGGCUAACUCCGUGCCAGCAGCCGCGGUAAUAC
rnacentral:rRNA from 1 species